rnacentral:rRNA from 1 species
CGACGUGGAGAACCUGCCGUAUACUGGGGGAUAACACUUAGAAAUAGGUGCUAAUACCGCAUAAGCGCACAGCUUCGCAUGAAGCAGUGUGGAAAACAAAAAGCUAAAGCUUUUGGUGGUAUACGAUGGAUCCGCGUCUGAUUAGCUUGUUGGCGGGGUAAAGGCCCACCAAGGCGACGAUCAGUAGCCGGCCUGAGAGGGUAAACGGCCACAUUGGGACUGAGACACGGCCCAAACUCCUACGGAAGGCAGCAG